rnacentral:snoRNA from 12 species
UCUCGAUGAUGAAACAAAGCACGCUGAGCAAAAUGUAGUUGGUCCUUCAUUUGCAUUGGCUGAUGUUUAUUGUCCUUUUCAAGACGGGGCUGAGAGAAGC